UUUAGUGGCGAACGGGUGAGUAACACGUAAGCAACCUGCCUUUAAGACGAGAAUAACAAUUGGAAACAGUUGCUAAGGCUGGAUAGGAAAUAAAAAGGCAUCUUUUUAUUUUUAAAAGACCUUCUUCGGAGGGUAUGCUUAAAGAGGGGCUUGCGUCACAUUAGUUAGUUGGUAGGGUAAUGGCCUACCAAGACGAUGAUGUGUAGCUGGACUGAGAGGUUGAACAGCCACAUUGGGACUGAGACACGGCCCAAACUCCUACGGGAGGCAGCAGUAGGGAAUUUUCGGCAAUGGAGGAAACUCUGACCGAGCAACGCCGCGUGAACGACGAAGUACUUCGGUAUGUAAAGUUCUUUUAUUGAAGAAGAAACAAUAGUGGAAAAACUAUCUUGACGUUAUUCAAUGAAUAAGCCCCGGCUAACUAUGUGCCAGCAGCCGCGGUAAUACAUAGGGGGCGAGCGUUAUCCGGAAUUAUUGGGCGUAAAGGGUGCGUAGGCGGUUUAAUAAGUCUCUAGUUUAAUUUCAACGCUUAACGUUGUCCUGCUAGAGAAACUGUUUGACUAGAGUGAGAUAGAGGUAAGCGGAAUUCCAUGUGUAGCGGUAAAAUGUGUAAAUAUAUGGAGGAACACCAGAGGCGUAGGCGGCUUACUGGGUCUUUACUGACGCUGAUGCACGAAAGCGUGGGGAGCAAACAGGAUUAGAUACCCUGGUAGUCCACGCCGUAAACUAUGAGUACUAAGUGUCGGGGUUAAACUCGGUACUGAAGUUAACACAUUAAGUACUCCGCCUGAGUAGUACGUACGCAAGUAUGAAACUUAAAGGAAUUGACGGGAUCCCGCACAAGCGGUGGAUCAUGUUGUUUAAUUCGAAGAUACACGAAAAACCUUACCAGGUCUUGACAUACUCUGCAAAACUAUAGAAAUAUAGUGGAGGUUAUCAGGGAUACAGGUGGUGCAUGGUUGUCGUCAGCUCGUGUCGUGAGAUGUUAGGUUAAGUUCUAAAACGAGCGCAACCCCUGUCGUUAAUUGCCAGCACGUUAUGGUGGGGACUUUAGCGAGACUGCCAAUGAAAAAUUGGAGGAAGGUGGGGAUUACGUCAAAUCAUCAUGCCCCUUAUGAUCUGGGCUACAAACGUGAUACAAUGGCUAUUACAAAGAGUAGCUUAAACGCGAGUUUUUGGCAAAUCUCAAAAAAAUAGUCUUAGUUCGGAUUGAAGUCUGCAACUCGACUUCAUGAAGUUGGAAUCGCUAGUAAUCGCGAAUCAGCAUGUCGCGGUGAAUACGUUCUCGGGGUUUGUACACACCGCCCGUCAAACCACGAAAGUGGACAAUACCCGAAAGCGACAGCCUAAC
rnacentral:rRNA from 1 species